AUGCUUACUUUGUUAGCAUUUAUGCUAAAAUUAGAACAAUACUGAGAUGAGCAUGACCUCUACAAAAGGAUGACAAGCAAAUCUGUUAAGCCUUCCAUAUUAAA
rnacentral:snRNA from 1 species